GGGCCCAAAGUUUAACUGGCUGAACACCUCAUUUGCAAUGAGGAGGUAGUGGGUUCGACCCCCACUGGGUCCACUA
rnacentral:tRNA from 1 species